AACGAACGCUGGCGGCAUGCCUAACACAUGCAAGUCGAACGAGACCUUCGGGUCUAGUGGCGCACGGGUGCGUAACGCGUGGGAACCUGCCCUUAGGGUCGGAAUAACUCCCCGAAAGGGGUGCUAAUACCGGAUAAUGUCUUCGGACCAAAGAUUUCUCGCCUUUGGUUGUGCCCGAGUUGGAUUAGCUAGUUGUUAGGGUAAAAGCCUACCAAGGCGACGAUCCAUAACUGGUCUGAGAGGAUGAUCAGCCACACUGGGACUGAGACACGGCUCAGACUCCUCCGGGAUGCGGCAGUGGCUGAUAUUGGACAGUGGGCUAAAGGCUGAUCCACCUCUGCCGCUAGAACGCUGUAAUCAUUAGAGUUGUAAAGCGCUUUUAACCGUGAUCAUCAUGACAGUACCUAAAGAAUAAGCCCCGGCUAACUCCGUG
rnacentral:rRNA from 1 species